UACGUAGGGGGCAAGCGUUGUCCGGAAUCAUUGGGCGUAAAGAGCGUGUAGGCGGCUCGGUAAGUCCGCUGUAAAAGUCCAGGGCUCAACCCUGGAAAGCCGGUGGAAACUGUCGAGCUAGAGUCCGGAAGAGGCGAGUGGAAUUCCUGGUGUAGCGGUGAAAUGCGCAGAUAUCAGGAGGAACACCAAUGGCGAAGGCAGCUCGCUGGGACGGUACUGACGCUGAGACGCGAAAGCGUGGGGAGCGAAUGGG
rnacentral:rRNA from 1 species